rnacentral:rRNA from 1 species
GACGAACGCUGGCGGCGUGCUUAACACAUGCAAGUCGAACGGAAAGGCCCUGCUUUUGUGGGGUGCUCGAGUGGCGAACGGGUGAGUAACACGUGAGUAACCUGCCCUUGACUUUGGGAUAACUUCAGGAAACUGGGGCUAAUACCGGAUAGGAGCUCCUGCUGCAUGGUGGGGGUUGGAAAGAUUCGGCGGUUGGGGAUGGACUCGCGGCUUAUCAGCUUGUUGGUGGGGUAGUGGAUUACCAAGGCUUUGACGGGUAGCCGGCCUGAGAGGGUGACCGGCCACAUUGGGACUGAGAUACGGCCCAGACUCCUACGGGAGGCAGCAGUGGGGAAUAUUGCACAAUGGGCGGAAGCCUGAUGCAGCAACGCCGCGUGCGUGAUGCCGGCCUUCGGGUUGUAAACCGCUUUCGCCUGUGACGAAGCGUGAGUGACGGUAAUGGGUAAAGAAGCACCGGCUAACUACGUG